AUGAACGCUGGCGGCGUGCCUAACACAUGCAAGUCGAACGCGAAAGUUCCUUCGGGAGCGAGUAGAGUGGCGGACGGGUGAGAAACGCGUGAGAAUUUUCCUCUUAGUGAAGGAUACCUCCGAGAAAUCGGGGCCAAUACUGCAUAAGUCCCUGCGGGGAGAAAGAUGGCCUCUUGUUAUCGCUGAGAGAUAAGCUUGCGUACUAUUAGCUAGUUGGUGGGGUAAUGGCCUACCAAGGCGAUGAUGGUUAGCCGGCCUGAGAGGGUGUACGGCCACAUUGGGACUGAGAUACGGCCCAGGCUCCUACGGGAGGCAGCAGUGGGGAAUAUUGCACAAUGGGCGAAAGCCUGAUGCAGCGACGCCGCGUGGAGGAUGAAGGUUUUAGGAUUGUAAACUCCUGUUAAACGGGAAGAAAUCUUCGCAAAUAAUACGUGCGAAGGAUGACGGUACCGUUAGAGAAAGCUCCGGCUAACUUCGUGCCAGCAGCCGCGGUAAUACGAGGGGAGCAAGCGUUAUUCGGAAUCACUGGGCGUAAAGGGCGUGUAGGCGGUUAAUUAAGUCAGUUGUUAAAUUUCCCGGCUUAACUGGGAAUCAGCGAUUGAAACUGGUUGACUAGAGGACAGAAGAGAGAAGUGGAAUUAUCGGAAGUAGCGGUAAAAUGCGUAGAUCUCGAUAGGAACACCAAUUGCGAAGGCAGCUUCUUGGUCUGUUACUGACGCUGAGACGCGAAAGCGUGGGGAGCAAACAGGAUUAGAUACCCUGGUAGUCCACGCUGUAAACGAUGAUCACUAGAUGUAGGUCUUGCUUUGCGAGAUCUGUGUCGUAGCAAACACGUUAAGUGAUCCGCCUGGGAAUUACGGCCGCAAGGCUAAAACUCAAAGGAAUUGACGGGGGUCCGCACAAGCGGUGGAACAUGUGGUUUAAUUCGACACUACGCGAGAAACCUUACCUAGGCUUGACAUGUAUAUGCUGUUCUAUGAAAGUAGGAGUUCCAAGCUUGCUUGGACAUAUACACAGGUGCUGCAUGGCUGUCGUCAGCUCGUGUCGUGAGAUGUUGGGUUAAGUCCUUUAACGAGCGCAACCCCUGCUGUCAGUUGCUAGUCCUUCGGGGCGCACUCUGGCAGGACUGCCUGGGAAACCAGGAGGAAGGUGGGGAUGACGUCAAGUCCUCAUGGCCCUUAUGUCUAGGGCUACACACGUGUUACAAUGGCUGGUACAAAGAGCAGCAAACUCGCGAGGGUAAGCUAAUCUCAUAAAGCCAGUCUAAGUUCGGAUUGAAGUCUGCAACUCGACUUCAUGAAGUUGAAAUCGCUAGUAAUCGCGCAUCAGAACGGCGCGGUGAAUACGUUCUCGGACCUUGUACACACCGCCCGUCACACCACGAAAAUUGUCUAUACCAGAAAUCACCUUAGCUAACCUCGCAAGAGGAGGCGUGUGCUGAAGGUAUGGGGAGUAAUUGGGGUG
rnacentral:rRNA from 1 species